GAGGGUAUAGCUCAGUGAUACAGCAUGUGCCUGGUGAGCACAAGGUUCUGGGUUCAAUCCCCAGUACUUCUCU
rfam:Camelus ferus unplaced genomic scaffold scaffold463, whole genome shotgun sequence.